rnacentral:lncRNA from 1 species
AGCGAGCUCAGUAUUAAUUAAUUGCGUAUUUUCUUAUUUACACAGUGCAAGAUUGGUGGCUGUUUAGAAGAGAAGGGUGGAGAUCAUUGAAUGGAAAGAUCAACUCUAUGCUAGUGUUCAAUACAGUGCAAGAUUGGUGGCUCUUCAAAGAGAAGGGUGGAGGUAAUUGAAUGGAAAGAUCAACUCCUUACAGUGUUCUGUACAGCUGACGAAUAGCAGUUGGUACUUGCAUGUAUUGGAUGUGGAAAUGGCCAAUUAAAGUUAUAAAGGUGUGUGUAUUCUGUGGCAAGGUUUUCUACUGUCUUGCAAAAAGCCCUAAGACUGGCAAAUAAUACUGAUAUUAUACAUCCAUACAUACAAUCAGUAAUAGAAUUGGACAAAUGAAGAAAAGGACAAGCAAUGGCUGUUAAGGGAAAAUGAAUCUGACCCAUGGAGAUUAUGAACUGACCAAUAUAAUAUGUACCAUAAGCAUAAAAGAAAACAUCUCUGAAUUGUUUGUCAAGCAUUGCUAAUAUUACAUACAAGAAACAAUAUUAUGUUAGAACAGUUUCUUGUAUCUUCUUAGAACAUACAAAGACAUUCUAAAAAAAUACAAGCACAGACACUUGGUGUAGAGAUUAACUUUGAUCAGGUACAUAUGUAUGUGUUAACAAUAGCUAGGACACAUUAAGUUGUACUGUUAAAUAUACCGGUAAUAUGUACAGGUUAUUAGAUUUGUAUUGAGAAGUAUGCAUAUGAGUUCUGCAGCGAAAAUAUUGCUAGACUAGGAGUGCAGUCUUAUUCUUUGAAGGAAUGAGUGCAUAUUUCUGGAUGAAAAUCUAAUAAUCUUUUUAUUACAUA